CUAGUCAUAUGGAUUAGAGUUUGAUCAUGGCUCAGGACGAACGCUGGCGGCGUGCCUAAUACAUGCAAGUCGAACGCUUCUUUCCUCCCGAGUGCUUGCACUCAAUUGGAAAGAGGAGUGGCGGACGGGUGAGUAACACGUGGGUAACCUACCCAUCAGAGGGGGAUAACACUUGGAAACAGGUGCUAAUACCGCAUAACAGUUUAUGCCGCAUGGCAUAAGAGUGAAAGGCGCUUUCGGGUGUCGCUGAUGGAUGGACCCGCGGUGCAUUAGCUAGUUGGUGAGGUAACGGCUCACCAAGGCCACGAUGCAUAGCCGACCUGAGAGGGUGAUCGGCCACACUGGGACUGAGACACGGCCCAGACUCCUACGGGAGGCAGCAGUAGGGAAUCUUCGGCAAUGGACGAAAGUCUGACCGAGCAACGCCGCGUGAGUGAAGAAGGUUUUCGGAUCGUAAAACUCUGUUGUUAGAGAAGAACAAGGACGUUAGUAACUGAACGUCCCCUGACGGUAUCUAACCAGAAAGCCACGGCUAACUACGUGCCAGCAGCCGCGGUAAUACGUAGGUGGCAAGCGUUGUCCGGAUUUAUUGGGCGUAAAGCGAGCGCAGGCGGUUUCUUAAGUCUGAUGUGAAAGCCCCCGGCUCAACCGGGGAGGGUCAUUGGAAACUGGGAGACUUGAGUGCAAAAGAGGAGAGUGGAAUUCCAUGUGUAGCGGUGAAAUGCGUAGAUAUAUGGAGGAACACCAGUGGGCAAGGCGGCUCUCUGGUCUGUAACUGACCCUGAGGCUCGAAAGCGUGGGGAACAAACAGGAUUAAAUACCCUGGUAGCCCCCCCCGUAAACAAAUGAUGCUAAUGGUUGGAGGGUUUCCGCCCUUUAGUGCUUGAACCAACGCAAUUAAGCCCCCCCCCCGGGGGAGUACAACCCGCCAGGGUGAAAACUCAAAGGAAAUUGACGGGGGGCCCCCCCCCAACGGGGGGAAACAUGGGGGUUUUAAUUUCAAAACCCCCCCAAAAAAAACCUUUUCCCAGGGUCUUGGAACUUUCUUUUUGACCCCCCCCUAAAAAAAAAAAAAGACUUUUUCCCCCCUCGGGGGAAAAAAAAAAGGGGCCAGGGGGGGGGGGGGCAUUGGGGUUUGUUCCCCCCCCCCCCCUCCCUGGGUCCGCGGGGAAAGAGGUGUGGGGGGUAUUAACAACCCCCCCCCCCCCCCACCAAACACACCCCACCAAAACCCCCCUUCUUUUUUUUGGUGUUUUUUAUUUUUUUGUGUUCGCCCCCUCCUUUUUUUUUUUUUUUUUUUAUAUUUUUGUGGUGGUGGGCCGCCCCCACCAUCC
rnacentral:rRNA from 1 species